AGCUAAUACAAGAUACUCUGCAGAUUCUCUCUAAAAGCGCCUCAUUGCCUGUAAUGAUGAACACAAUAAUCAUUCUUCUGUGUACCCUGGCAAUUCAGGUCAUAAGCCAAACCAAAGAUAUUUCUCCUGCAAGGAUCCUGGCCCGGCUCACAACCUUAAGUGAAAACAGUGACCUUUAUUUAACC